rfam:Danio rerio chromosome 24, GRCz11 reference primary assembly.
CUUGUCCUCAUAUGUAUGUCGCUUUGGAUAAAAGCAUCUGCUAAAUGACUAAAU